AUUAUUGUACACAAGAUAGAAGUUAUUUUUUGUACAAUUCAAAAUAAGUUCUAUCUUAUGUACAAUAAUUAUAAAAGUUAAGUUGUAUACUGCGCUACACUAAUACAAGUUGAAUAACUAUUUUUACUUUUGGAUCCGGUUUCCAUGAGUCAAAAUAUAUAUGAUACGUGUGAUAAGAAAGUCGCAUAUAACUGCAACAGAUGAACAAAUUUCUGCUCCCAUCAAGAUCUGGCUGGCUCAUGCAAAGGAACGUGCAAAAAAACAAAAAAUAAUUGAGUUAUUUUAGAUUUUACAUAU